CAGAGCAUCCCCAGCGGGGCGAUGUCCUGGGUUGGGAGGGGGGGCAGAGUCGGGGGGCGGGGGGGCAGUACCACCACCACUGACUCCUGAGUACCAUCACCUCAAUUUGGAGUAUCUUUAUCAUAGUUUUACUUCUAAGUGUGACGCGAUUCCCGUUUAGUGACUUACUGUGUUUGUAUUUAUUUGAACCGAGCCGCGAGACUUUGUACCUCGACCAGUCAAAGAGCUACUAUAUGUGUAUGGCUUGGUUUAGUUAAACCACUGGUUUAGCUAACCACCAGCUAACCACUGGGUUAGCUAACAUCAGCGCGGCGGUGAGGCUAACUCCCGUUGUGGUCGUCAUGCCGACGGUCUGACCGCUGCUGGAGGAACCAACGCCUGCUCGUGUUGGAGCGACCGGUGGACGUGUGCCAUGCUGCUGCUUACUGCUCCUUUAAUCAACGCUUCGUAGCGCGCCGACGCAGACCGCAAGGAACAUGAUUCUGAAGUAAGAUGUCUUCUGUUUUUAGAGGCGACGCAUUGUAAAGCGUACGUUUUUAGGAUGAAUUUGGAUGUGCGGUUGUUAACAUUGCCUUUCUGUAUGGAGGUUGGUUGUGUGAAGGUGAUAUUCUAAUAAAAGAGUUGUUUGUUGACGCCGGCCGUGUCUGUGGUGGUGAGGGACUGAACGUGUGACCUUGAGGGGAGAAGGAAUGAAAUAAACUAGAUUUGUAAACAAAGAUAUAAAAGAUAAAUAAAAGAUGGUUGCCAUAAUAUUUUUUCCAAGCUCCAUUUUGGUAGUGUGUGUGUGUGUGUG
ensembl:lncRNA